rnacentral:rRNA from 51 species
CAACGCGACCCCAGGUCAGGCGGGGCUACCCGCUGAGUUU